rnacentral:rRNA from 1 species
UACGUAGGGUGCAAGCGUUAUCCGGAAUUAUUGGGCGUAAAGAGCUCGUAGGCGGUUUGUCACGUCUGCUGUGAAAACUCGAGGCUCAACUUCGAGCUGUCGGUGGAAACUUUCUGGCUAGAGUCCGGAAGAGGAGAAUGGAAUUCCUGGUGUAGCGGUGAAAUGCGCAGAUAUCAGGAAGAACACCCGUGGCGAAGGCGGUUCUCUGGGACGGUACUGACGCUGAGACGCGAAAGCGUGGGGAGCGAACAGG